CAAGCCCAAAAAUGCGGGCAAAAGGGUGUAUCUAUGGACCGGUUGAGGCUGUAUUGUGAUCCAAGAGGGACAGCGGUUGCUGGAAAGACAAAUAAAAGGUGACGGAGGACGGAUGGAUGGAGAGGCGAGAAAAUAAAGGCGGAGCGGGGCAAAUAUGAGAUGUGUGGGGUUGAAAGUGAGAGAGGAAGAGAUGUUGAGAGGAGGGUGGGCAGCGGAGGCAGGGAGAGGGAUGCUGCAUUUCAGAGAUAGCACAGACUGGCGCUGCAGGAGCAGACAGCGGGAUGAGGACAAGCUAUGAGGACAGAGAGCAUGACAGGACUCAUAUUCAGAGUGAAGCGGCACUAAAGGAAUACUUGUACUACUGAACAAACACUCCAAGAGUGGACUAGAGAGGAGGAGACCACUUAUAAUGUACCCGACGGGCUUAAAAACACGAAGACAGAGAGAAAUAUACUCAAUCCAUCUGGUUCGGACGGAUGCAAAGACAUCAUUGUGGCUCAUGGGAUGAAUAAAAUACAUCCUGACAAUUGCGGGCAAGUUCUUGGGAGGAGACCUUAAAAAUGGGCAGUUAUUAGCUCCUGGAAGAAAAAGGGAGGAGAGAUCAGUAUGACUCACAGCAGUUCGAAUAAUGUGUGUUUUGUAUGCAGGAGGGGGCUAGAGUGAGAUCGAGGCGAAAUGAGAGAGACACAGUGAAGGAAAGAGAGCGGACCUUGAAAGACGUGAACGGUCUUCGGACAGGGAUGAGCAAGGGAUGAGCAAGCGAGAGCCAGUGACUUUUAGACAGUGGGCCAAGUGAAUCACCUUGCUGGAGGGUGAGGAAGGUGAGAGGUGGACCAGAGUUGUGAAAGUGACGGGAAGGGUCACAGAAGAUUUGCUGCCCGAUGGACACUGGAAAGCGUAUUGCAAAGGACAGAACAGGCUAAACGGUAUUUGAGACUGGCUGGUUUCCUCUAAGGAGAGACUGGAUGAUUGUAUAUGGGAGAGUCUCCUACCAACCCAAAAUGUGACAUAAGCGGAACAAAUCAUGCCACAGAGAACAUGUCCUGGCAGGAAACAAACGUUAAAGACUAAGAAAAGCUGCAGAUGAGAAAACAUGUCAUUCUGUGCGCCACGCCGAGGACAACGCGGAAACUUGAACUGUGACAACGACACAGCAAGAGAUUCCGGUUAAAUAUUCAUGCUGACGGGCCACUCUUGAAAACAACUUGCGUCCUCCUCCACAGAGGGGAAAGAAAACUGCUUUCAUCAUGUGGGAUUUUUACAAGAGACAAGUUGGCAAGUGUGUCAGGUUAUGCUGACAUCUUGCAGCAAAUUGAGACGGGACCACGCCGUGCUCGCCGGGACGCGGCUUCCUGGAGGGGUUCGGCCAGGCAUGAGGAGAGGGGAAUGACGACUGGCAGAAGACCUGAAGCUGCGAUUAUCCGGAGGGAGGAAAUACACAUUUGGCAGAUCAUUAAAAUUACAUGGAGACUGCAGCCAUAUCUAUUCUAUGUUGACUUGAAUCUAUUUUUGGUUUACAAAGACAACUGCAUUUUGUAGAAACUGCUUUGAAAUCAACUUGGAGUUACCAAUUGCUGGCAGAUACCUACUUUUUCAUUUCUUCUUGAACUGACCAUAACCUUUCUGACUUGCUCUGAAAAAAUGGGCUGAUUUUCGAAAUCUAUCCAGAGUUGGACUGCUUAUCAAGCUUUAGGAAGCACAGCACUUUUUUUUUUAUGCACAGCAACCAAAGGAUUUAGAAUAUUGCUUUUUUUCCUUCUUCCAUGACUGAAUAAUCACUCACGAUGGAUCACUUUCAGUUUUGAUGGGCCUUUCUGUCAUCAAGGCUCUGACCAUAUCUAAUUCCUCAAACAAGAAAGCAGGACAGAAAACUGUCUCUCCUCCUGAAGCCGCGAAAAGACCAGCUUGGUGUUGGUGAACGUUGGUGCAAGGACUAUCGAAGAGCUCUGCUAAACAUGCUUUGAAUGAUGGUGUAGACCUGUGUGUGCCAGCCAAGCUUUGCAGCCCGCUGUGUCUGAACAACCCCCCUCCCUCCCCCCCAUCCCCAAAGUCACUCAGAGCUGCAUGUGUUGCCUGGAUUGCGCCUACUACCAACAGAGCGGGACUUGAACAGCGGUGGUGAGCGGGGGGCACUGGGAGGAAGAAAAUAGAUAGGAGAAAGAAACCAACAGGCGAAAGGAUGGGAAAACAUUGACAUCAUGCUCGGGUAAACAGAAGAAAGAAAAGAGUUUCUGUUUGCCCCAGGUGCAAUGUGUGGCGUGGCGCCCAGUGGCGGUGGCGUUCUGUGAUGGUAACCAUGAUCACCGGCAGCCACUAUAUCUGCAGCAGUCACGCAAGAGAGGACGACUCAACCAACGAUCGAGAGGAGCGGAUUUUAGCGGUGCUGGGCAUCAUCGGAACCGUACUCAAUCUUUUAGUGGUCAUAUUCGUCUACAUCUACACCUCUGUCACUUAAGACCUUCAGACAGAUUUGAACAAGAACGACCGGUGUCCACCCGACGUCCCUUCCGCCGUACUUCUCUACAAGUAUUGAUGUGCUUGGAGGAUCAGAUCAUGAUGCGCUACGACAGAAGGAUCCUUGGCAGCGUCUACAGCUGAAUUGUGGCCAACUAUGAGUGUGUCAAUUCACGGCUGGAAGAAAAGUCCUUGCCGAGUUACUGAAGACUACUGACAAAUAUCCCGACAGCGAGGUGUUCCACGAGGCAUCUUCCUUAUCGAACUUGUCAUCUCGAGAAAGCCUCAUUGCUGACACUGACUGCCCGUCGUAGUCAUGACUCAGCAUUUCAUGUAAUUGGGAUUUGAUCCAAUGGUGGGUUUUACUAUGCUGUUUUUCCCCCCACACGAGACUGUAAAAAGUAGCUCAUGUGAGUACGGUGAGCUUUUGUUUCACUGCCAGAUAAAUAUUCACCCAGAAGAACCAAACAGAUGUAAGCAGACUAACUAAACAGCCGCGAAGAACUAUCAACGGACGGACUUUUGUGCCUCGCCUUUAAAGUUGUAAAUGAACGCAUAAUAGCAGUUGCUGUCGUGAGCGGCAUUAAAA